GAUCCUGACUCAGGAUGAACGCUAGCGGCAGGCCUAACACAUGCAAGUCGAGGGGCAUCACGAGGUAGCAAUACUUUGGUGGCGACCGGCGCACGGGUGCGUAACGCGUAUGUAACCUACCUAUAACAGGGGCAUAACACUGAGAAAUUGGUACUAAUUCCCCAUAAUAUUCGGAGAGGCAUCUCUCCGGGUUGAAAACUCCGGUGGUUAUAGAUGGACAUGCGUUGUAUUGGCUAGUUGGUGAGG
rnacentral:rRNA from 1 species